rnacentral:tRNA from 1 species
CGAGCGUGGUGGAACUGGUAGACACGCAAGCUUGAGGUGCUUGUGGGAGCAAUCCUGUGGGGGUUCAAGUCCCCCCUCGA